AUCCUUUUGUAGUUCAUAAGCAUGUUGAUUGGAUGUUCACGCCAUUGUGUGACAAUGUUUCCCUUAAACCUUGUUACACGACCUCAGGACAUUACCCAUCUGACG